UACAGAGGGUGCGAGCGUUAAUCGGAAUUACUGGGCGUAAAGCGCGCGUAGGCGGCUUUUCAAGUCGAUUGUGAAAUCCCCAGGCUCAACCUGGGAACUGCGUCUGAUACUGGAUGGCUUGAAUCCGGGAGAGGGAUGCAGAAUUCCAGGUGUAGCGGUGAAAUGCGUAGAUAUCUGGAGGAAUACCGGUGGCGAAGGCGGCAUCCUGGACCGGCAUUGACGCUGAGGAGCGAAAGCUAGGGGAGCAAACGGG
rnacentral:rRNA from 1 species